AUUAGUCCGAGUUCCAAGAAAGCUGCUGAAGGAUCAAGGCCCGUUGUCCGAUCUUUGUUCGGAGCUUCUUCUUCAUCAAGCAGUACAACACCAGUGAACCUGCCAACAGAGAAUGAGCACAUGGUCAAUGAGAUGCUUCAUAAGAACGGUGUUGCAUUUGCUGGCAAAUCUGAUGCUGCCAGCACUGUUGAGAAGGAUUUGCAAACCAAAUUGAGGGAAGCAAUGGAGAAAGCUUUCUGGGAUGUGCUUACUGACUCAAUGAGAGGAGACAAACCUGACUACAGCCAACUGAUCAAUCUGGUAAAGGAAGUGAGGGAUUCGUUGCACGACUUGGCUCCCAAGGAAUGGAAGGAGGAAAUACUUGCGAACAUUGACAUCGAAAUUUUGUCUCAGGUAAGAUCUUAAUUUUAUGUUUUUUAUUGACUUGCUUCUUUAUAACUCAUGAACUGUUGACAUAAUUUUGUUUCUCUCCGUAUGAAAGGUACUUGAGUCAGGCUCCCAGGACACGCAAUAUCUGGGGCAGAUUUUGCAUUACUCCCUGGCCAUGGUCAGGAAACUAUCUGCUGCUGCAAAGGAGGAUGAGAUGAAGAAAAGUCAUGAAAAAUUAUUGAGCGAGUUGGCUGCAAGUUCUGAAGUUAAUAAUGAUAAGGCUAUCAGCUCAUUUGUCAUUGCUGUCAUCAAAGGCCUGCGCUUCACUCUGGAAGAGAUAAAGGUCUGUUCUGAAUUAAUACAUUAAACUAGUCCUAGAAUUAACUGCACUUGUUUUUAAACUCUGGAAUUCUAACACUUUCAUCAUAAACAGGAACUGCAAGUAGAAGUGAGUAAGGCACAUAUUCAGCUGAUGCAACCAAUGAUAACAGGCUCUGCUGGAGUGGAGUAUCUGCAGAAGGCUUUCAAUGAUCGCUAUGGACCUCCUGCCAAUGCAUCAUCCUCUCUCCCUCUUACUCUGCAGUGGGUUUCAACAUCAAAGAACAUCGUUGAAGAAGAAUGGAGUGAACACCUGGGCGCUCUUUCAGUUCUACCAGCAGCAGAUCAUGUAAGUUUUUAACACGGUGUGUUUUAACAUCGGGUACAUAGCAGCAUUACAGUUUUUGUGUGGCUCCUGUCACUAAAUUUAAUCAUUGGUUGCAGGCUCAGCCUCUUGUUACUGUGCUCCGAUCUGGACAUGGAGCUCCAGGGCCCCAAGCAGCUUCUUUGUCUGCAGCAGGUAGCUCAGGUUUGCCGGAGUGCAAGGGAGAUAAGAUUGACAAGCUCGUUAGGAUUGGCUUGUUACAGCUUAUUAGUGGUAUGGAGGGCUUGCAAUUGCAGUCAACUCCUGAGAGCUUCCAUCUUAAUUUCAUGAGAUUGAGGGCUGUGCAGGGUCAAUUUCAAGAAGUGAUUGUGAUGGCUACGAGGUAAACUAUUUUGUACGUGUACUUUUAGCCUAGUCGGUGGAAAUGAUUAAAAUUUUCAUUGUGUAAUAACUGAAUUUACUGUUUGUGCAGCAUGCUCGUCCUGCGUCAAGUUCUGAUGAGUGAGAAUUCGAAGAUCACUCCCCUAGAACUGGAGAACGUCAUCUCAGAACUCUUCGGCACUCUGGUGAAGCUGCUGGAUAGCUCCCCUGAGGCCGGUACUGAAGAGAUCGUGGAGGCGAUGAUGAGCUCUUCAGCCUCAGCUGGCUCUGUGUCAGAUGAAAAGAUUCAGUCGAGGAGGCAGAUAAUAACCCGAGUGCUCCUUAAGAGCCUCCAGGAUGGCGACGUUGUCUUCAAGAAGGUCUCCCGGGCGGUCCAUUGCGCCUUCCGUGGUGUCGUUCUUGGUGGCAGCGGCAUGAAGGGCCAGAAGCUGGCCGAUGCAGCCUUGCGCCGCGUCGGUGCUGGGAAGCUUGCUGACCGGGUGGUGAAGGCGUCUGAAGUGCUGAUCAUGGUGGCAACGGUCACGGAGAAGGUCCACGGCCCAUGGUACAAUGCACUUGCCUGAAUGUGAAUAGUUUGAUCGGUUUUGUGAAUACGCUCGGUGGAUUGUAAAUUCUUGUUCCACUGGGUGGCAUUGGGAACAAGGCAUUGUACAGCAAUUUAUAGGUGUCCUUAGUAGGUUAGUUUAGCAUGUUCAGAAAUUCCUGGUGCAGGGCAAAUAUGGAUGUACCUGCAUCAGAAUUUAGUCGGGCACCAGAGAUGCUCAAUUGCAUCCGGGGGAAACGAUGUCACGUACAAUCGUAUAUGAUGGUGCAGUCAUUGUAAUAUAACAAUUGAAUAAUGUGAUUAAUUGUCUAUACUGUAAAUACUUUGUUUGUUUGUGCAGUGGUACAAUUGGCCGUGUUGUUGCCAGGAAGGCAGCAAUGGUGCAAAAACACUCGAAAUAUUGCAGGAAUCCGUAUUCGAGCAGCUCCGUGUGGGGACUGGAGAGUCAACGCGCGCCUAAGAGCUCACACAUGGAAGGACAUUGAUGUUGCGGAUAUAUGGUUUGUAAAACGAAAAUCAGUCCACGGCUUGGUUUGCUUAGCACAUAAGAAAGUAAAAACAGUUAUCUUUAAGCGUACCAAGCGUUGUCACCCAAGAUCUGCGCCCCCGCCGCCGUUUUUCCUCGCCGAGCCAAAGCCAUGUCAAUGGAGAACCACGUCGCUGACGCCGUGAGGGACCUGGCUGCACUCUCCACGCGUCUCCUCGCCAGGCCCGGAAAGGACAAGAACCUCGCCUUCUCACCGCUCUCCUUCCACUCCAUGCUUUCCCUCCUAGCUGCAGGUGCCUCGGGCGCCACACGCGACCAAAUCGUUGUCUUCCUGGGA
rnacentral:lncRNA from 1 species